rnacentral:lncRNA from 1 species
GGAGUUGGAGGAGGGAAAGGAAAGAAUUGGAGGAGAUAGGGAGGAUAAUGAGGAAGUGGGGAGGUUAAGAUUCGAUUUGUUCGCGUAAUGGGCGGGUUAUUAGGUGGUAAAUGGCUGCAUGCCAGCGCCAACCCAAUUUUCAGCAAAAAUAAAAAAAUGGAAAAAGGGUGGAGGGUGGAGAUCGAACCUGGAUCAUCGAUUUAUAUCAAUGUCGUAGACACCAUUGAGUGAUUGACAUGAGGGACCCACUUGUCGGCGCCAGGUUCAUAUGCUGCUCUAGUUUGGUUCAUGGUGUUCUUCUUUUUUUAUUUUGAUUCAUUGUGAAAACGUUAAACGUGUUUAGAUUUUGCAUUUGUUGUCCAAAUCCGUUGAUUCUUUUUUCCAAUUUCUUGGACAACUUUUCCCUUUCACGUGGUUUUAUUUACAUUGUGUUACCUGACCCCUUGCAUUAACAUUUUAUCAUUUGCUUCACUAUUU